rnacentral:rRNA from 1 species
GACGAACGCUGGCGGCGUGCUUAACACAUGCAAGUCGAGCGGAGUGGCGAACGGGGGAGUAACACGUGGGGGAUCUGCCUUGAACGUGGGGACAAGCUUGGGAAACCGGGUCUAAUACCGGAUAGUGCAAGAGGUGCUCGCGGCCUAUCAGCUUGUUGGGGGGGUAUUGGCCUUCCAAGUCGUCGAAGGGUAGCCGGCCUGUGAGGGGGUACGGGCACAUUGGUACUGAGAUACGGCCCAGACGCGUACGGUGGGCAGUAGUGGGGAAUAUUGCACAAUCGGCGGAAGCCUGAUGCAGCGACGUCGCGGGGGGAAUGAAGGUUUUCGGGUUAUAAACUCCUUGCGACAGGGACGCGGUACCUGUAUAAGAAGCACCGGCUAACUACGUGCCAGCAGCCGCGGUAAUGC